GGGGCAACCUGGCGGCGAGUGGCGAACGGGUGAGUAAUAUAUCGGAACGUACCCUGGAGUGGGGGAUAACGUAGCGAAAGUUACGCUAAUACCGCAUACGAUCUAAGGAUGAAAGUGGGGGAUUCGCAAGAACCUCAUGCUCCUGGAGCGGCCGAUAUCUGAUUAGCUAGUUGGUGGGGUAAAGGCCUACCAAGGCAUCGAUCAGUAGCUGGUCUGAGAGGACGACCAGCCACACUGGAACUGAGACACGGUCCAGACUCCUACGGGAGGCAGCAGUGGGGAAUUUUGGACAAUGGGCGAAAGCCUGAUCCAGCAAUGCCGCGUGAGUGAAGAAGGCCUUCGGGUUGUAAAGCUCUUUUGUCAGGGAAGAAACGGUCUUGGUUAAUACCCGGGGCUAAUGACGGUACCUGAAGAAUAAGCACCGGCUAACUACGUGCCAGCAGCCGCGGUAAUACGUAGGGUGCAAGCGUUAAUCGGAAUUACUGGGCGUAAAGCGUGCGCAGGCGGUUUUGUAAGUCUGUCGUGAAAUCCCCGGGCUCAACCUGGGAAUUGCGAUGGAGACUGCAAGGCUAGAAUCUGGCAGAGGGGGGUAGAAUUCCACGUGUAGCAGUGAAAUGCGUAGAGAUGUGGAGGAACACCGAUGGCGAAGGCAGCCCCCUGGGUCAAGAUUGACGCUCAUGCACGAAAGCGUGGGGAGCAAACAGGAUUAGAUACCCUGGUAGUCCACGCCCUAAACGAUGUCUACUAGUUGUCGGGUUUUAAUUAACUUGGUAACGCAGCUAACGCGUGAAGUAGACCGCCUGGGGAGUACGGUCGCAAGAUUAAAACUC
rnacentral:rRNA from 1 species